UGCAAGUCGAGCGGUAAGGCCCCUUCGGGGGUACACGAGCGGCGAACGGGUGAGUAACACGUGAGCAACCUACCCUCAACUUCGGGAUAAGCCUCGGAAACGGGGUCUAAUACCGGAUAUCACCAGCUUCCUCAUGGUUGUUGGUUGAAAGUUCUGGCGGUUGGGGAUGGGCUCGCGGCCUAUCAGCUUGUUGGUGGGGUAAUGGCCUACCAAGGCGUCGACGGGUAGCCGGCCUGAGAGGGCGACCGGCCACACUGGGACUGAGACACGGCCCAGACUCCUACGGGAGGCAGCAGUGGGGAAUAUUGCGCAAUGGACGAAAGUCUGACGCAGCAACGCCGCGUGAGGGAUGACGGCCUUCGGGUUGUAAACCUCUUUCAGCAGGGACGAAGCGAGAGUGACGGUACCUGCAGAAGAAGGACCGGCCAACUACGUGCCAGCAGCCGCGGUAAUACGUAGGGUCCGAGCGUUGUCCGGAAUUAUUGGGCGUAAAGGGCUCGUAGGCGGUUCGUCACGUCGGGAGUGAAAACUCGGAGCUCAACUCCGAGCCUGCUUCCGAUACGGGCAGACUAGAGGUAGGCAGGGGAGAGCGGAACUCCUGGUGUAGCGGUGGAAUGCGCAGAUAUCAGGAAGAACACCGGUGGCGAAGGCGGCUCUCUGGGCCUUACCUGACGCUGAGGAGCGAAAGCGUGGGUAGCGAACAGGAUUAGAUACCCUGGUAGUCCACGCCGUAAACGUUGGGCGCUAGGUGUGGGGGACAUUCCACGUCCUCCGUGCCGCAGCUAACGCAUUAAGCGCCCCGCCUGGGGAGUACGGCCGCAAGGCUAAAACUCAAAGGAAUUGACGGGGGCCCGCACAAGCGGCGGAGCAUGCGGAUUAAUUCGAUGCAACGCGAAGACCCUUACCUGGGUUUGACAUAUAGGGAAAUCCUCCAGAGAUGGGGGGUCCGUAAGGUCCUAUAC
rnacentral:rRNA from 1 species